AUUGAACGCUAGCGGGAUGCCUUACACAUGCAAGUCGAACGGCAGCGGGAAGUAGCUUGCUACUUUGCCGGCGAGUGGCGAACGGGUGAGUAAUGUAUCGGAACGUGCCCAGUAGCGGGGGAUAACUACGCGAAAGCGUGGCUAAUACCGCAUACGCCCUACGGGGAAAGGGGGGACGUCUUCGGAGCCUCUCACUAUUGGAGCGGCCGGAUAUCGGAUUAGCUAGUUGUGGGUAAAGGCU
rnacentral:rRNA from 1 species